GAGAUAAUAUGUAAGAAAAGAAGCUUCUAACUUCAAUUUCAGGCAGUUUAAUUCUGUCUUUAUCUCU
rnacentral:tRNA from 3 species